GACGAACGCUGGCGGCGUGCCUAAUACAUGCCAGUUGAGCGCUGAAGGUUGGUACUUGUACCAACUGGAUGAGCAGCGAACGGGUGAGUAACGCGUGGGGAAUCUGCCUUUGAGCGGGGGACAACAUUUGGAAACGAAUGCUAAUACCGCAUAAAAACUUUAAACACAAGUUUUAAGUUUGAAAGAUGCAAUUGCAUCACUCAAAGAUGAUCCCGCUUUGUAUUAGCUAGUUGGUGAGGUAAAGGCUCACCAAGGCGAUGAUACAUAGCCGACCUGAGAGGGUGAUCGGCCACAUUGGGACUGAGACACGGCCCAAACUCCUACGGGAGGCAGCAGUAGGGAAUCUUCGGCAAUGGACGAAAGUCUGACCGAGCAACGCCGCGUGAGUGAAGAAGGUUUUCGGAUCGUAAAACUCUGUUGGUAGAGAAGAACGUUGGUGAGAGUGGAAAGCUCAUCAAGUGACGGUAACUACCCAGAAAGGGACGGCUAACUACGUG
rnacentral:rRNA from 1 species